CAGCAGCCGCGGGAAUACGAAGGGGGCUAGCGUUGCUCGGAAUGACUGGGCGUAAAGGGCGCGUAGGCGGCGAUCAGAGUCAGGCGUGAAAUUCCUGGGCUCAACCUGGGGGCUGCGCUUGAUACUUGGUUGCUUGAGUGGGGAAGAGGGUCGUGGAAUUCCCAGUGUAGAGGUGAAAUUCGUAGAUAUUGGGAAGAACACCGGUGGCGAAGGCGGCGACCUGGUCCUUGACUGACGCUGAGGCGCGAAAGCGUGGGGAGCAAACAGGAUUAGAGACCCCCGUAGUCCCUGUCUCUUAUAC
rnacentral:rRNA from 1 species